CAGAAGGAAGGGCAGCUAUAUGAUGCCAUAGUAGACAAGUGGGACAGAGGCUGGCACUUUUUCUUUAGUGUAAAGGAUGUAAAAGAGAAAAGGUUUGGGAAUGGUAAAGGGAACAAGAUCUAGGAGAAGACAGCUGAUGUUUAGGGUUGACUCAGAGAGGAGAGGAGACUGAGAGACCAACCGCUCUUCCAGCCAGAAUCUUCUGCUCUUCCAGAGUCCAGUCUCCUGGGGGCCCCCUAUGAGGAGAUCAGUUCCACACACUCUUCAGCCUGGCACGUUUUCUUUAGUGCCAGCCUCUCUCACAAGAACACUGGGCUAGGAAUCAUCUUCCUGAGUUCAAAUAUGGUAUGGAAGUAAACACUUACUGUGUGACCCAAGGUAAGUUAGUGAACUCUGCUUGCCUCAGUUUCCUCAUCUGUAAAAUGAGCUGGAGAAGGAAAUGGCAAACCACUCCAAGAUCUCUGCCAAGAAAAUCUCAAAUGGGAUCACAGAGAGUUGGACUGAAACAACUGAAAAUGACAGUUCAGAAGUUUGAAGUUGUGUUGAGAGACAUUCAACAAUUGUUUCAAACAACAAAUGUACUUUGCCAAUUCAGGGAAACUUGUCAAGGUGGUAGACCAGAGCCUAAUUUGAAGGGGAAGUGCAGCCCACCUCUCUCUCCUCUCGGGAAAUUACGGAGGAAACGUCCGCUGAUAUUGGGGAAAGGGCAGGAAACCUGAGCACAAUAGGCUGCAGCUGGGAAGCAGGCUAAGUUCUAAAGACACAAAGAAAGCUGAAAGCAUCACCCCUCAAAUCUGGCCCAGAUGCUUCCUGGCUGUGCCACCCUGGGCAAGUCACUUAACUCCCCACAACUAGCCCUUCCUGCCCUUCUGCCUUGGAACCAAUGCCCAGUGUGGCUUCUAAGCCUUCUGGAAGGUAAGGAGUUUUAAAAGAAUGGACUGCCUUGUCCCUGCCUGUAAGGUAGCUCAUCCGGGUGGGGGGACCACGCGCAAAUACCUUUCUGUGGAUAAGAUCUUUAAGAGCAUGUAGAAGAGGAUCUCAGAGGGAAGGAUGGAGGGGAGGCUGCGAAAGGCCUUUUUGUGUCUGGAAGGAAGCUAGGAAAGUCAGGAGUAAAUUGGGUAAGUUGGCAUGGAAGGAGCCAGGAAGGGCACAGGUAGGUGUUUGGGUAAGAAAGACUCUUGCCCUCUCCAUGCAGAGCCCCAAGAUGCUCUACCUCUGCACCCCCACUUUCCUACUUUGGGGGGCAGGUGUCCUGGAGAAAGCUGCAUCCUUGGGCAUGAGAAGGACGAGGCACCGGGAGUCCUGGAGCUAAAGUCUGUCCUGGGACCUGCCAGAGGCUGGACGGUGAGGGGCUAAGGCUCGAGCCCCCUGCCCCCCCGCUCGGACGAGAGGCAGGAAAGGGGGAGCAAGUGUGAUCUACCGCCUGACUCUGGCAUCUUCUGAGGCAAACGUGGGGGGCCGAUGCUCUGUGGCAAGUUGGAGCCUGUUCUCCCUGUGGACACAGAAGUGGAGCACGCCGGAUGCUGGGCUCAGUGUUCAAUUUUUGUUUUUUACAAAUAUUAUCUCCUUUUAUCCUCUCCCUUCCUCCUGAUGUGCUGAUCUAUAUGUGGUAACAGCAAUAAUAAAAAUGAUAGCAA
ensembl:lncRNA